UCUCAGGACAUUAGGCUUGGAACCCCUUAGAUCCUGAAGUAGCCACCAUUGCAGAAACAAGAGAAAGAGCCAGAGAGGGUAGGGUGCUGUGUAAGGUCACACAGUACAACAGAAACACUUGGGAGCCUGUCUGUGCCAGACCCUAUCUGAAAUGAGGAGACAGAGGCACUGAGCCCUCACACAGCCCAGAGGCCCCACAGCUGGGAUCUGAACCCAGUCAUCUGGCUGGUCCCUGCAGGAAAGUUACCUGUCUGUGUCCCUGUUUCCUGACCUGUCAAAUGAAUGGAAGAUGGUGGUCAAGUUUCUGCUCAAGGGCCACCUUCUCAGGGCAGCCUUCCUUGAUUGCCCUAGGAAGACAUUGUUGGAGCAACAGCUUAGAGAAUCAAGGAGAAUGUGACUGUUUGUGUCUUUUAACCCACAAUGAUCCAUGCAACAGUAUCUUCCAGAUUUUCCAAUAGGCCAAAGAGAAAGUCUCCAACGAUGCUGUUAACAUCUUUUGAACACCCGUGGAUCGCGUGUGUGCUCUCCCAGUCUCUUUUGCUCUCUCUCUCACCUGGACAAAGCUGAUCUUGGACCCAGAACUUCUACAGACAAUGGUAUCCAGCUAGAAUUUGAGAAUAUUGUUUUGUUUCCAUUUUGCUCAUUUUGGUCAGUUACUUUUUAUUUGUGGUAAGGGAUUCUGAUUUUUUUUUUUUUUUCCUGUUUGGAUAUUACUGGUGAGAGUACAAAGUGGCCCUGGAGAAGCUAUGGAGAAGUGUUGGCAUUUUCUGAUAAAGUGAUUGUCUGGGACCAGGCUGGUGCUGGGGGCCUGAUGUUACAAGGGAACUUGUGACGGUAAUGGAAUGUUCUGUUUUGACUGAGGUAGUGGUUACGUGGGUGUGUAUAUUUGUUAAAAUAUGUUGCACUGUGCACCUAAAUAGAUGCAUUUUAUUCUGUAUAGAUUUUACCUCAAUAA
ensembl:lncRNA